AGUGAACGCUGGCGGUAGGCCUAACACAUGCAAGUCGAACGGCAGCACAGUAAGAGCUUGCUCUUACGGGUGGCGAGUGGCGGACGGGUGAGGAAUACAUCGGAAUCUACUUUUUCGUGGGGGAUAACGUAGGGAAACUUACGCUAAUACCGCAUACGACCUACGGGUGAAAGCAGGGGAUCUUCGGACCUUGCGCGAUUGAAUGAGCCGAUGUCGGAUUAGCUAGUUGGCGGGGUAAAGGCCCACCAAGGCGACGAUCCGUAGCUGGUCUGAGAGGAUGAUCAGCCAAACUGGAACUGAGAAACGGUCCAGAAUCCUACGGGAGGCAGCAGUGGGGAAUAUUGGACAAUGGGCGCAAGCCUGAUCCAGCCAUACCGCGUGGGUGAAGAAGGCCUUCGGGUUGUAAAGCCCUUUUGUUGGGAAAGAAAAGCAGCAGGUUAAUACCCCGCUGUUCUGACGGUACCCAAAGAAUAAGCACCGGCUAACUUCGUG
rnacentral:rRNA from 1 species